rnacentral:rRNA from 1 species
UACGGAGGGUGCAAGCGUUAAUCGGAAUUACUGGGCGUAAAGCGUGCGCAGGCGGUUUGUUAAGUCUGCUGUGAAAUCCCCGAGCUCAACUUGGGAAUUGCAGUGGAUACUGGCAAGCUGGAGUACGGUAGAGGAAGGUGGAAUUCCCGGUGUAGCAGUGAAAUGCGUAGAGAUCGGGAGGAACCCCAGUGGCGAAGGCGGCCUUCUGGACCAGUACUGACGCUCAUGCACGAAAGCGUGGGGAGCAAACAGG